GACGAACGCUGGCGGCGUGCUUAACACAUGCAAGUCGAACGAAGUGGCGAACGGGUGAGUAAAGCGUAAUCAACCUGCCCUUCAGAGGGGGACAACAGUUGGAAACGACUGCUAAUACCGCAUACUGAAGGAGGGGAUUGCGUCCGAUUAGCUGGUUGGGGGGGUAACGGCCCACAAAGGCGAUGAUCGUUAGACGGUCGGGAAGGAUGAACGGCCAAAUUGGGACUGGGACACGGGCCAGACUCCUACGGGAGGCAGCAGUGGGGAAUCUGCCGCAAUGGACGAAAGUCUGACGUAGCAACGCCGCGUGAGUGAUGACGGCCUUCGGGUUGUAAAGCUCUGUUAAUCGGGACGCGGUACCGGAAUAGAAAGCCACGGCUAACUACGUGCCAGCAGCCGCGGUAAUAC
rnacentral:rRNA from 1 species